rnacentral:rRNA from 1 species
UACGUAGGCAGCGAGCGUUGUUCGGAGUUACUGGGCGUAAAGGGCGAGUAGGCGGUCCGCUAAGUCUGAUGUGAAAGCCCGGGGCUCACCCCCGGAAGGGCAUUGGAAACUGACGGACUCGAGUCCCGGAGAGGAAGGUGGAAUUCCUGGUGUAGCGGUGAAAUGCGUAGAUAUCAGGAGGAACAUCGGAGGCGAAGGCGGCCUUCUGGACGGUGACUGACGCUGAGACGCGAAAGCGUGGGGAGCAAACAGG